CUACGGGUGGCAGCAGUGGGGAAUAUUGCACAAUGGGCGCAAGCCUGAUGCAGCCAUGCCGCGUGUGUGAAGAAGGCCUUCGGGUUGUAAAGUACUUUCAGCGGGGAGGAAGGGUGUAAAGUUAAUACCUUUGCUCAUUGACGUUACCCGCAGAAGAAGCACCGGCUAAGUCCGUGCCAGCAGCCGCGGUAAUACGGAGGGUGCAAGCGUUAAUCGGAAUUACUGGGCGUAAAGCGCACGCAGGCGGUUUGUUAAGUCAGAUGUGAAAUCCCCGGGCUCAACCUGGGAACUGCAUCUGAUACUGGCAAGCUUGAGUCUCGUAGAGGGGGGUAGAAUUCCAGGUGUAGCGGUGAAAUGCGUAGAGAUCUGGAGGAAUACCGGUGGCGAAGGCGGCCCCCUGGACGAAGACUGACGCUCAGGUGCGAAAGCGUGGGGAGCAAACAGGAUUAGAUACCCCUGUAGUC
rnacentral:rRNA from 1 species